rnacentral:rRNA from 1 species
AUUGAACGCUGGCGGCAGGCCUAACACAUGCAAGUCGAGCGGAUGAGGAAAGCUUGCUUUUCGAUUCAGCGGCGGACGGGUGAGUAAUGCCUAGGAAUCUGCCUGUUAGUGGGGGAUAACUCGGGGAAACUCGGGCUAAUACCGCAUACGUCCUACGGGAGAAAGUGGGGGAUCUUCGGACCUCACGCUAACAGAUGAGCCUAGGUCGGAUUAGCUAGUAGGUGAGGUAAUGGCUCACCUAGGCGACGAUCCGUAACUGGUCUGAGAGGAUGAUCAGUAACACUGGAACUGAGACAGGGUCCAGACUCGUACGGGAGGCAGCAAUGGGGAAUAUUGGAAAAUGGGAGAAAGCCUGAUCCAGCCAUGCCGAGUGUGUGAAGAAGGUCUUCGGAUUGUAAAGCACUUUAAGUUGGGAGGAAGGGUAUUCACCUAAUACGUGGGUACUUUGACGUUACCAACAGAAUAAGCACCGGCUAACUCUGUGCCAGCCGCCGCGGUAACAC